rnacentral:rRNA from 1 species
CCAGACUCCUACGGGAGGCAGCAGUGGGGAAUAUUGCACAAUGGGGGGAACCCUGAUGCAGCAAUGCCGCGUGAAGGAUGAAGGUUUUCGGAUUGUAAACUUCUUUUGUACGGGACGAAGAAAGUGACGGUACCGUAAGAAUAGGCCACGGCUAACUACGUGCCAGCAGCCGCGGUAAUACGGAGGAUGCGAGCGUUAUCCGGAUUUAUUGGGUUUAAAGGGUGCGCAGGCGGAUUUUUAAGUCAGCGGUCAAAUCGUGGGGCUCAACCCCAUCCAGCCGUUGAAACUGGGGAUCUAGAGUGUGCGAGAGGUAUGCGGAAUGCGUGGUGUAGCGGUGAAAUGCAUAGAUAUCACGCAGAACCCCGAUUGCGAAGGCAGCAUACCGGUGCACAACUGACGCUCAGGCACGAAAGCGUGGGUAUCGAACAGGAUUAGAUACCCCAGUAGG